GUUAAUCCAGCCUCCAAAUCCUCUAGUGGCUGUCUCAUUGCAUCCGCUAGAGGCGCUUGCGUGAUUCUCACUGUGAAAAUUACAGUGAGAACACGUAAGCGUCCAUAGGAAAGCAUUGUAAAUGCUUUCCUAUGAGACCGGCUGAAUGCGCGCGCAGCUCUUGCCGCGCGUGAGCAUUCAGCCGAAAGGGAGGAGAGGAGGCGGAGAGGAGCUCCCUGCCCGGCGCUGGAAAAAAAGUACGUUUUAACCCUUUCCUCUCCCCAGAGCCGGGAGGGAGGGGGACCCUGA